UGAAAGCCCGGGGCUCAACCUCGGAACCGCAUUUGAAACUGGCAGGCUAGAGUCUUGUAGAGGGGGGUAGAAUUUCAGGUGUAGCGGUGAAAUGCGUAGAGAUCUGAAGGAAUACCAGUGGCGAAGGCGGCCCCCUGGACAAAGACUGACGCUCAGAUGCGAAAGCGUGGGUAGCAAACAGGAUUAGAUACCCUGGUAGUCCACGCCGUAAACGCUGUCUACUUGGAGGUUGAGGUUUUAGACUUUGGCUUUCGGCGCUAACGCAUUAAGUAGACCGCCUGGGGAGUACGGCCGCAAGGUUAAAACUCAAAUGAAUUGACGGGGGCCCGCACAAGCGGUGGAGCAUGUGGUUUAAUUCGAUGCAACGCGAAGAACCUUACCUACUCUUGACAUCCAGAGAACUUUCCAGAGAUGGAUUGGUGCCUUCGGGAACUCUGAGACAGGUGCUGCAUGGCUGUCGUCAGCUCGUGUUGUGAAAUGUUGGGUUAAGUCCCGCAACGAGCGCAACCCUUAUCCUUGUUUGCCAGCACAUAAUGGUGGGAACUCCAGGGAGACUGCCGGUGAUAAACCGGAGGAAGGUGGGGACGACGUCAAGUCAUCAUGGCCCUUACGAGUAGGGCUACACACGUGUUACAAUGGCAGAUACAGAGGGCAGCGAAGCUGCGAAGUGGAGCGAAUCCCUUAAAGUCUGUCGUAGUCCGGAUUGGAGUCUGCAACUCGACUCCAUGAAGUCGGAAUCGCUAGUAAUCGUGGAUCAGAAUGCCACGGUGAAUACGUUCCCGGGCCUUGUACACACCGCCCGU
rnacentral:rRNA from 1 species